GACGAACGCUGGCGUCGUGCUUAACACAUGCAAGUCGAACGGAAAGGCCCUGCUUUUGUGGGGUGCUCGAGUGGCGAACGGGUGAGUAACACGUGAGUAACCUGCCCUUGACUUUGGGAUAACUUCAGGAAACUGGGGCUAAUACCGGAUAGGAGCUCCUGCUGCAUGGUGGGGGUUGGAAAGUUUCGGCGGUUGGGGAUGGACUCGCGGCUUAUCAGCUUGUUGGUGGGGUAGUGGCUUACCAAGGCUUUGACGGGUAGCCGGCCUGAGAGGGUGACCGGCCACAUUGGGACUGAGAUACGGCCCAGACUCCUACGGGAGGCAGCAGUGGGGAAUAUUUGCACAAUGGGCGGAAGCCUGAUGCAGCAACGCCGCGUGCGGGAUGACGGCCUUCGGGUUGUAAACCGCUUUCGCCUGUGACGAGGCGUGAGUGACGGUAAUGGGUAAAGAAGCACCGGCUAACUACGUG
rnacentral:rRNA from 1 species